GACAGAGGGUGCAACCGUUGUUCGGAAUUACUGGGCGUAAAGCGCGUGUAGGCUGUCUCGCAAGUCGGAUGUGAAAGCCCUGGGCUCAACCUAGGAAGUGCAUUCGAAACUUCGAGACUCGAGUCCUGGAGAGGAUCGCGGAAUUCUCGGUGUAGAGGUGAAAUUCGUAGAUAUCGAGAGGAACACCAGUGGCGAAGGCGGCUCACUGGUCCGGUACUGACGCUGAGGUGCGAAAGCGUGGGGAGCAAACAGG
rnacentral:rRNA from 1 species